rnacentral:tRNA from 1 species
AGGAAGUGGCAGAGUGGUUACGCGGCUGGCUUGAAACCAGCAUAUGGGGGUUCAAUUCCUCCCUUCCUC